CACAGGAUUUCUAAGAAUUAGCAGAACUGGCUCUUCCAUCUAAACUUUCACUGCACCACACCCAAGCAGUCUAUAUUUGCAAAAGAUUGAGAGUCAAGAAGAAUCCACCGAAGCAGAGUUAAGGCUGUUAAAUAAACAGUGUUUUACGAGGACAUGGAUUCCAAGCUGGAUAAGAAAGGAAGUGAAGACAAGGAGGGGACUGAUGGAUGGAAGAACAUAGAAGAUUCACUGCAUUGGGUGUCAUGAUGAAGCUCAGGGGAAUAUGGACAUAACAGCUACGGCUCUCUUAACCACCUUGGACCAUAAGCCUAACUUGGCCAUGGAAAUCACAAAAAGCAGAGCAGCAAGAUAGAAAGAGCCUGGUUCCUUGACUUCUCAAACAUGAGAAAUAAAGAAAUUUCUACUUCUUUAAGCCACUAUAAUUUUGUAGCUUUCUGUUACUCACAGCUGAAGUUAAUCCUAAUAAAUACCAGAUGUGUUAA